UACGUAGGUGGCAAGCGUUGUCCGGAUUUAUUGGGCGUAAAGGGCGCGUAGGCGGCCACGCACGUCCGUUGUGAAAUCGCCCGGCUCAACUGGGCGGGGUCAGCGGAUACGGUGUGGCUCGAGCAAGCUAGGGGGCAAUGGAAUUCCCGGUGUAGUGGUGGAAUGCGUAGAUAUCGGGAGGAACACCAGUGGCGAAGGCGGUUGCCUGGAGCUUUGCUGACGCUGAGGCGCGAAAGCGUGGGGAGCAAACAGG
rnacentral:rRNA from 1 species